rnacentral:rRNA from 1 species
UUGAACGCUGGCGGCAGGCCUAACACAUGCAAGUCGAACGGUAGCACAGAGAGCUUGCUCUUGGGUGACGAGUGGCGGACGGGUGAGUAAUGUCUGGGAAACUGCCUGAUGGAGGGGGAUAACUACUGGAAACGGUAGCUAAUACCGCAUAACGUCUUCGGACCAAAGUGGGGGACCUUCGGGCCUCACACCAUCGGAUGUGCCCAGAUGGGAUUAGCUAGUAGGUGGGGUAAUGGCUCACCUAGGCGACAAUCCCCAGCUGGUCUGAGAGGAUGACCACCCCCACUGGAACUGAGACACGGUCCACACUCCUCCUGCAGGC